CUUACCUACCACCACCACCCUCUCCCGGUCUCCCCCGAGCUCGUUCACCUCCUCGAUCGAUUGAUGUCCACAUCUCAUCAUGGCUGCCGCGGCGGGAAGCAAUGGGGCGACGACGAGGAGGCCGGAGGGUGGUGAAGCGGCUGAGCUUCGGGGGCUCAUGGGAGGAGAAGGCAGAGGUGGCAGCAGAGGUCGGGAGAUGCAGAUGAAGCAGGAGAAGGCGAUGUGGCAGCAGAGGUCGGGAGUUAGGCUGCUUCAGGCGUUGUCCGCCGAGCGGAUGAAGCAGGUGCUCCCGGAGCUGGACGUCGUGCCGACGCUCCUGUCCAUGCUUGUGAACGCCGGGGGAGGAGGAGGCGAUGGCGCGCAGAUAGCCGUGUGGUGAGGGUGCUGCUCGAUCGAUCUCACGAGAGGAAUGCACAGAAUGCGCUCAUGACCGAAACACCUAAGAAUUAUCCAGCUACAGUAUAGCAGCAUUCCUAGAGAUAAAUUUCGGUUGCAUCUAUAUUGGAUCAAACUAAGGCGGCGUGCAAGCUAACAUUAGCUCUCAUCACUCAGAGCUGCACUUGAAGAUCUUCUAAAGGACUAAUUCUAUUGCAAGCAGUUUGCAAGAAAAUUAUAUGCUCUCAUCACUUAGAGUUGAUAUUGAAGAAUUCUGAACACUUAUAGCAUGUGGGUAUGUAUCCAUUAACCCCUUUUAACUUAUUGUUUUCUUCAAUAGGUUGGAAAAAUUAGAGCUUUGUAGACAUCUCACGAAACUAUUUUGUGAACAAUUGUGUGUGCUUUUCUAUAGGCAAGCCCCAACUGUACUUACUUGGAAAGUUUGCUAGUUUAAUUUAUACUCAUUUUUUAGUCAAAUAUCCUUGCAUAUUCCUCAUUAGAAAAUAAAACGUACCAUCCCCAUCCUCAUAUCCAACUGGGAUCGUACCAACACGAAUUUCACGCCUCCGAGCAUCCAUAUCAAUGGAAGACUUAACACAUGGAACAACAUCUGCGUGCAAAACAGAAGACCCGACAAUUGGUAAAUCCACAACUGAGACAAAAAAAAGCAAUGGCAUGCCAUAUCAUCUGUAUGUAAUAAUAAAGCUACAUGGCAUCAACUAAGAAAAUAGUGGCCAUGCGAUUAAGAAUUGAAGUUAGACUACUUACUGCUAUUAAUUAAGCGGAAAUAACCGCUGCUAUCUUCUCUAAGGACGCAUCAUGCAUGAAUAUUAAUAUGUUGUCUACACAAAUAAUGUGAAGAGAGACAUCUUUUUAGAUUGCAUACAUCCUUCAGCAGAGUAGUUGUCUCAUAUAGAAGGCA